GGCCCAGUGGCCUAAUGGCUAAGGCGCCAGAUUUCGGUACUGACUGCAGACUGAAAAUUCUCUGGAGAUUGGGAGUUCGAAUCUUCCCUGGGUCG